CCUACGGGAGGCAGCAGUCGAGAAUCAUUCACAAUGGGGGAAACCCUGAUGGUGCGACGCCGCGUGGGGGAAUGAAGGUCUUCGGAUUGUAAACCCCUGUCAUGUGGGAGCAAAUUAAAAAGAUAGUACCACAAGAGGAAGAGACGGCUAACUCUGUGCCAGCAGCCGCGGUAAUACAGAGGUCUCAAGCGUUGUUCGGAAUCACUGGGCGUAAGGCGUGCGUAGGCGGUUUCGUACGUCGGGUGUGAAAGGCGCGGGCUCAACCCGCGGAGGGCACAUGAUACUGCGAGACUAGGGGAAGGGGGGGGGAACCGGAAUUCUCGGUGUGGCGGUGAAA
rnacentral:rRNA from 1 species